rnacentral:rRNA from 1 species
AUUGAACGCUGGCGGCAGGCCUAACACAUGCAAGUCGAACGAGUGGCGGACGGGUGAGUAAUGCCUAGGAAUCUGCCUGGUAGUGGGGGAUAACGUCCGGAAACGGGCGCUAAUACCGCAUACUAUCAGAUGAGCCUAGGUCGGAUUAGCUAGUUGGUGGGGUAAAGGCCCACCAAGGCGACGAUCCGUAACUGGUCUGAGAGGAUGACCAGCCACACGGGAACUGAGACACGGUCCAGACUCCUACGGGAGGCAGCAGUGGGGAAUAUUGCACAAUGGGCGCAAGCCUGAUGCAGCCAUGCCGCGUGUGUGAAGAAGGCCUUCGGGUUGUAAAGCACUUUCAGCGGGGAGGCGUUACCCGCAGAAGAAGCACCGGCUAACUCCGUGCCAGCAGCCGCGGUAAUUC